rnacentral:rRNA from 1 species
UGAGUAACCUGCCCUUAACUCUGGGAUAAGCCUGGGAAACUGGGUCUAAUACCGGAUAUGACUCCUCAUCGCAUGGGUGGGGGGUGGAAAGCUUUAUUGUGGUUUUGGAUGGACUCGCGGCCUAUCAGCUUGUUGGUGAGGUAAUGGCUCACCAAGGCGACGACGGGUAGCCGGCCUGAGAGGGUGACCGGCCACACUGGGACUGAGACAUGGCCCAGACUCCGUACGGGAGCAG